UUAAGUGACGAUAGCCUAGGAGAUACACCUGUACCCAUGCCGAACACAGAAGUUAAGCCCUAGAA
rnacentral:rRNA from 1 species